AUCUUGCAGCAUUUUGCAGCAUGGCUUUGUUAUAAAGCGCCACCUGUUGCAAGAGGCUCUGAGGUUGUUUUGCGCAGUUACUGUGGAUAGGCAUUACCACGCAAGUUUCGGGCAUUUUCACUUUAUCUGUAAGCUUCCUGGGAUUCUUGUUCGCUGUCUACAUCUUACUUGAGAAGAAAUAUUCUUGAGAUCACUUGGAUUGAUUCUAUAACUUAAUGGAAUUUUCAUUCAAUCAAAUUCGUUCACGCGUUAGAAUAAAAUUAAAGACUGAACAUGGCAGCUAUCUACGCAUGUUGUUGCAAGAAGAAACUUUGGGAAGGAUUGACUUCUCUUCGUCUUUUACUUCGUUUUGCGAUGGAGAUGAUAACGCACGUUUCAGUCUUGAUGGGGACGGACCAUCAUGAUUCAACGGAAAGAGUAUUUCUGGCAGUCAGAAAGGAAGAAGGUGAAUGAACGUGGGCUUCAGGUGAAGAAACAUACAGAAAAAGCUGAAAAAACUGAGAAGAUCAGAAGUUUUCCAUUGUUGGAAUGCCAGAAAUCUCUAGACAGUUUUCCUUUAAUUUAUAUUGAAAGAAACUGCAAAUUGUUGAAUUUUUAUUUGUAUAAGAACUUGUUUAUAUUUACUUAUACAUAUUUACAUUUUUUUUACUUUUAUUAUAUGUGAUUUAUACUUUUUUUUCUUAACCCGCCAAUUCACGAUCUUAGUUUUAAAAUUCUAAAUUUUAUUAAAUUCAUAAAACAUUUUUAACACCUUUCUAAAUUCCAUUUCUCUAAACAUCCAUGUGCGAAAAUCCUUUUCAAACAAUCAGAUUUCGUUUUAAACAUAGUUUAAGCGGAAGCAAGAGGAGUCGGAUAAAUACAAAUUUUCCUUCUUCUUUUGUUCAUUCUGAAGUCUACAGUAAACUUUUAAUUCAACCUUUUAAACUUUAGAUUCAACACUGAAAAGUAAAAUAUACACUUUCCCAAAUAUUUGCUCCUCAAGGACUGAACCAAUUAUUUUCGACCUGAACUUACGAUUGACUUGAACCUUCGAGCUACGAGGAGUGGAAUAACGGAGAUACCGCUUUCUUUCUUUUUAUUUGGGCUGCAAUGGACGCAAAUGUCUUUUUGAGCUAAGUUUAGUUCAGUGUAGUUAUAUUAAGUCCUGUUUUUAAAGCAACACUAGGGCUAUUUUGAGACGGACCUCGUCAUUUUGAACCGCGGUCAGAUGACGAGGACGACACCUGAGCUGGCACCCCCUCUCCACUCCACACCAGCGGGAGGACGUUUGGUCAGGACGGAGUUAAGGUGCAACAGACCCCCUUCAUGACGGUUCUUCGGUGGAAUCAGGUCUCGAACCUGCAACCCUCCGGUUCGGAAGCCGAGACCUCACCACCAGGCCACCGCGGCCCUCAAAGGUCUUGACUGAAAAACAUACAUGUUAUCUACGAUCUCUACAUAUAUUUUUUUAACAGAAUAAAGACAAGCAAUAUAAUGAGUGAUGAACUAGUAAAAUUAAUGAUUCUUUUAAUUUUAUGAUAAUUUACGUUAGAGGUAACAUUAUUUUUAUAUGUUAAUAUUUUUAGGACGCACUGAAUUGUAUAUUUCUUUCAUCCAAUUAUAUUUUUUGCUAAACUUAUCAACUCUACGUAUAAUGAAUGUUCUGUUUUGUAAAACAGAAUGAUAGACACAUAUAUAUAUAUAUUCACAUUUAAUCUUGGAAGAAAAUCUUACUUUAUGAAUUUAAAUUUUUAGAUUAAAGUCUGAAUAUUCGAUACUUUAAAUUCUUGAAUAAUUUUAAAAGAAAAAUAUGAAGAUACCUUCCAAAUUUAAAGCAUAUGAUGUUUCCUUAUUAAAGAUGAAGUAUGUACGUGUGAGUGUUUUAUCUGGAAUCCUGUUAUUUAAGUGCCUACAACUGUUUUUAUUUUGUUUUAAGAAUUAAAAUUGACAUUUUAAUGGAAACUUACAACUGAAAAUGGAAUAAUAAUACCUAAGAAAGUAUUUUUUUUUACAUGUGCAUACAUAAAGUAUAUCUAAGAAAG